rnacentral:rRNA from 1 species
GACGAACCGUACGAACGUUAUUCGGAAUCACUGGGCUUAAAGGGUGCGUAGGCGGCUUUGUUUGUCAGGCGUGAAAGCCCCGGGCUUAACCUGGGAACUGCGUUUGAUACGGCAGGGCUAGAGUUCGGGAGAGGAGAGUGGAAUUCCCAGUGUAGAGGUGAAAUUCGUAGAUAUUGGGAAGAACACCGGUGGCGAAGGCGGCUCUCUGGACCGAUACUGACGCUGAGGCGCGAAAGCGUGGGGAGCAAACAGG